rnacentral:rRNA from 1 species
AUUGAACGCUGGCGGCAGGCCUAACACAUGCAAGUCGAGCGGCAGCGGGGGAAAGCUUGCUUUCCUGCCGGCGAGCGGCGGACGGGUGAGUAAUGUCUGGGAAACUGCCCGAUGGAGGGGGAUAACUACCGGAAGCGGUAGCUAAUACCGCGUAAUGUCUUCGGACCAAAGUGGGGGACCUUCGGGCUUCAUGCCAUCAGGUGUGCCCAGAUGGGAUUAGCGAGUAGGGGGGGUAACGGCUCACCUAGGCGACGAUCCCUAGGUGGUCUGAGAGGAUGACCCGCCACACUGGAACUGUGACACGGUCCAGACUCCUACGGGAGGCAGCAGUGGGGAAUAUGGGACAAUGGGCGCAAGCCUGAUGCAGCCAUGCCGCGUGUAUGAAGAAAGCCUUCGGGUUGUAAAGUACUUUCAGCGGGGAGGAAGGUGUUGUGGUUAAUAACCAUAGCAAUUGACGUUACCCGCAGAAGAAGCACCGGCUAACUCCGUGCCAGCCGCCGCCUGUAACAC